UGGGGAAUAUUGCACAAUGGGCGCAAGCCUGAUGCAGCCAUGCCGCGUGUAUGAAGAAGGCCUUCGGGUUGUAAAGUACUUUCAGUCGGGAGGAAGGUGUCAAGGUUAAUAACCUUGGCAAUUGACGUUACCGACAGAAGAAGCACCGGCUAACUCCGUGCCAGCAGCCGCGGUAAUACGGAGGGUGCAAGCGUUAAUCGGAAUUACUGGGCGUAAAGAGCACGCAGGCGGUUGAUUGAGUCAGAUGUGAAAUCCCCGGGCUUAACCCGGGAAUUGCAUCUGAUACUGGUCAGCUAGAGUCGUGUAGAGGGGGGUAGAAUUCCAUGUGUAGCGGUGAAAUGCGUAGAGAUGUGGAGGAAUACCGGGGGCGAAGGCGGCCCCCUGGACAAAGACUGACGCUCAGGUGCGAAAGCGUGGGGAGCAAACAGG
rnacentral:rRNA from 1 species